CCUCCCUGUCUUAACACUGGGACCUCCCAGUGUCAGUGCAGAGUUCUGGCUCAACAAGGGAACAAACUAUGUUGCUGUCUUCCCUCCCUGCUGGACUUUGUUCCUUCCAGGGACUUGAGAUAUGCGGACAUU